rnacentral:rRNA from 1 species
AUACGGAGGAUGCGAGCGUUAUCCGGAUUUAUUGGGUUUAAAGGGUGCGUAGGCUGUGCGUUAAGUCAGGGGUGAAAUGCCGUCGCUCAACGACGGAGCUGCCCUUGAUACUGGCGUGCUGGAGUACGGAUGCCGUUGGAGGAAUGAGUGGUGUAGCGGUGAAAUGCUUAGAUAUCACUCAGAACACCGAUUGCGAAGGCAUCUGACGAAUCCGUCACUGACGCUGAGGCACGAAAGCGUGGGGAUAGAACAGGAUUAGAUACCCUGGUAUUCCACGCCGUAAACGAUGAUGACUAACCGUCGGCGAUAGACAGCCGGUGGCCAAGCGAAAGCGAUAAGUCAUCCACCUGGGGAGUACGUCGGCAACGAUGAAACUCAAAUGAAUUGGCGGGG